AGAGUUUGAUCCUGGCUCAGAUUGAACGCUGGCGGCAUGCCUUACACAUGCAAGUCGAACGGCAGCAUAGGAGCUUGCUCCUGAUGGCGAGUGGCGAACGGGUGAGUAAUAUAUCGGAACGUGCCCUAGAGUGGGGGAUAACUAGUCGAAAGACUAGCUAAUACCGCAUACGAUCUACGGAUGAAAGUGGGGGAUCGCAAGACCUCAUGCUCCUGGAGCGGCCGAUAUCUGAUUAGCUAGUUGGUGGGGUAAAAGCCUACCAAGGCAACGAUCAGUAGCUGGUCUGAGAGGACGACCAGCCACACUGGGACUGAGACACGGCCCAGACUCCUACGGGAGGCAGCAGAAGGG
rnacentral:rRNA from 1 species